rnacentral:lncRNA from 1 species
AUGAGCCAAAAGCAUCGUGUGAGUCAAGAGGCACUGAAGUGCUGCCAAGCAUCGAUUCCCACCAUGGCAGGAACGACUCCUGGGGUGGUGAAUUGCAAAGAAAUGGCUCUGUGGUGGCUGGCACCAGCUGCAGCAGGAAAGUCACGCCGAGACAGGAACAGGGCAGCAGGUAAGAUCUCUGCUCUGCUGUGGAAUGACAGGACACACCAAGUAGCAGUGCCUAGCUCUCAGAAGUGGCAACUUGGAUCCCUUUUCCUGGCUGAGCACCCAGCCUCACCUCCUGCCAGCUGCUGCAGAAGAAAUCCUCUGUGUGUUCUCCUGAAUUGUAAAGGCUGGUAA